UUACCUACCAUAAAAUAUUCAGGUGAACCUUUUUUAUGCAAAAUGGACAGAGAGUCUUAGCCUAAAACACCUAAGUAUUAUUUAAAUGUCUUAUGCUUCUUUUAGAUGAGUCAAAAAAUAUAUCCUUGAUUCUGAACUUAUUAGAGCCAUAUGGCCAAUCAUAAAAAGAAUACGCCUCUCUCAACACUUUCACUGAGGAGGAGCAGGUUGAGGAGCGCGGAUCCAGGCUAGCCCUCUUGGGCAAGCCAGGCAGUCUGUUCAGGAAACAUCUCUUUAAAAAUAGCAGCAAGAGUUUCCCUUUUCAUUUAGACGUUGGUUUACCUAUCCUCCACUAACAGCCUGUUAAAAUACCAUCCCAGUGACUGACAUAUUUGCAAAAAUUAUUGUAGUUCUCAGCCUCGUGGGAGGCCCCAACUGAGAAAGCAAUAUGUGGCUAUCUUCGAGGUAAAGCCUUAACUCGAAUCUCAGACCCAACGCUGGAAGAUGCCACGCACCCCAGAAAUAGAGUGUGGCCCUUCUAGGAAGUGCCGUUUCCUGCCUAGAUCCUUUUCUCUCACCUGAAAGAACCAGAACAGCCCAGGGAGAAAGGGCUGCUGGUCCUGCAGGGUGUCUCCUACCUCAUGACCUCAUUACGUGCCUGUCCCCAAAGCUGAGUCACUUUGCUCCUGAUUCCCAGAUUCUGGCCUGUGUUUUCUUCAUCAGGUUUAUCUUGAUGCCUGUCAUGCAGUAUUCCUUGAAAGUCAGCAUCCCUCAAAUUCCUGUCAUUCCCAGGAGACAUGGACUGUGUUUCAACAAUCUCAGAUACCUUUUAUGAUGUGGAAGGCAGGAGAAAGCAUGGCUCAUUGACACACUGCUGUGUCCUGUUUUUGUCUGGGUGGUGCAACCUUUGACAGAGUAGUGGAUCUGGGCCAUAUGGGAGAGACCACCACAACUGCCCAAUGGGAGUGUCACAAUUCCCUGAGCUAUGGGAGCCAGGCUGCCCCGGAAUGUAGACUCGGACCCGGAGCUGAUGUCACAAUCACAGAGUUCACUAUUCAGUGAAUGCAGGAUUCCUAAGUUUCCAUCAGGGUUGAGGCACUGCACAGAGACUCCGAGAAUAAACCAUGCAACAGAGGCACAGCUGUUCGCUGAGCCUACCCUGCAAUGGAGGACCAAAACAUCUGAAGCCAAAACAAGUUGUUAUUCACGCCGCUGGCUAAUGAAAUUAAACAGAGCAAUCAGCCCAUCCAGCUCUCUGUUUCUCUCCUUACCCUACAAGAACGUUUCUGUCAAAUGUUCAAUGUCUGCUAACAUCAGGCACCAUCACGUCUUCAGUUCUGGCAGCCGAGACCCUGGGACGAGGCCGAGAGGGUGGAAGGAAAGCCUCGGGGUUAGAGAAGGGAGUCCCUGGGCAGGGCCCUACCUGAUACGACCCAGGGAUAGGACGCCAUUCCCACUCCUUGGGAUGCCCCAAAGUGGCUUCCCAAGCUCCUGUGAACAGAGAGGAAGAAGGCACUCCAGAGAGUCACAUGCAUGGUAA
rnacentral:lncRNA from 1 species